UUCAAUAACCCUAGCUUAUUGAAUUCGAUGACGGCUCGCUCUGCCUUCUAUCUCUGAUCUCCCUCGUCUCCUCCUCCUCCUCCGAUCCUCUCUCUGUAUCUACCAUCAUUUUUACCCUCCACCGUCACUUCCUCUUCGAUCUGAAAACUUGUCAGCGUUCGUCGGAGCUCCGAUUUCUACGUUUCUUUAAUUCGUAGAUUCUCUCUCUCUCUGACGUUUAGCUUCUUCUCCUCGGAGCUCCGAAAAAACCACCACAGUCACCACCAGCACUGAGCGCCACCAUGGAAGGCGGCAGAGCAACGCUAUCGGAUGUUUAUCAAAGCGCGAAGAAGCUCCUCCUGAAUACGUGCGACUGCUUGGAACGCCUCGAGCGCCUCGACUACUCCGCCUCCUCUGAUCUCUCCCUCUCCCUCUCCAACGACAUCUCUCAGAUCCAAUCCCUAUGCGUCCAGAUGGAUCGAUUCUGGUGCUCCAUCGCGGCCAAAUCUCAACGCGAUCUCUGGAAAAGGGUUAAGAAGACUUCUUUGAUGAACCAGUAUCCAUUUGGCACUUGAAUUUUCAUAUUGUUCACUUGAAUUUAGGUACGUUUAUAGAAAAUUCAGCCAGCAUUAUAAAGCCAUAAUUGGUGCUGAUUUCGUCACAAAGGAGCUACAAGUAGAUGACUCGUCACUUUAUAGAUUUGGGAUACAACAGGACAAGAAAGGUUCAAUAGUUUAGGUGCUGCAUUUUAUAGAGGCAGAUUUGAAUGAUCAUGAAGCAUUUCCCUUUGUGUUACUUGGGAACAAGGUUGAUGUAGAUGGUGGGAACAGUAGAAAGGUGACUGAGAAGAAAGCUAGGGAAUGGUGUGCUUCUAGAGGGAACCUACCAUACUUUGAAACCUUUGCAAAAGAAGGAUACAAUAUUGAAGAUGCAUUUUUAAACGUAGCAAAAAUUGCCUCAGAAAACGAGCACACACAAGACAUUUAUUUUCCCGGAAUAUCUGAAACUGUUUUGGAAGCAGAACAAAGAGGUGGUUGUGCAUGCUGCUUUUUUUUUCUCUUGCAGAUAAACGAAGUAUGUGCAAAAUUUUUUUUAUUCACUAGACAAGGUGAAUGCAGCAAGUAGAGAUACAAGUUCUUGUGCUUCUGUUAUUGGGGAUGUUGUGACUGAGGUAUUUAAUGUAAGUAGAGAUACAAGAAAUACCAGAAAGACAAUAGAAUGUGUUUUAUGGAAGGUUGUCAUGUCUAACAACCAAGUAAAAUGCAAAGCUUUCUCAUGGUAUUAAGGAUGGUUCUUUCUUAUAUAAAAUUGAUUGAAAGAAAGUGAGUUCCUGCUUUUGGUAUAUAAUGAGAAAAUUAUUUAUGGCAUAGAUAUUCAUGAUGAGAAAAUCUGUUUGCAUCUGUAUUCUUUGAUUUUGAGAUUUUAGAUAAAAAGAAAAUUAAACAAGUUUGGCUUUAAAAUAGAGAUAUUUUGCAUUAUUAAAUUAUUUGAUUCUUUAUAUAACUUUAUUUCUCCUAAUGUAUAUGUACUGUGUAAAUUAUAUAUAUAUUUUUUGUCAUGAGACAAUUAACAAGGAGGACCUCUUAUUUGUUGUGGUGGCUUAAUAACUUUCACAGAUUAAAAUAAAUAGUUACGCAUGUUCUAAAAAUACACUAAAUUAUGCUGUAAAAGAAUAUAAAAAAUUUGUGUUUAGUACUGUGCUAUACUACAUUGUUAAUUGAUCUUAUUUUAACUGUUAAUGCACUCCAGCUCAAGAUGAAAAAUGGAGAUGAGAUCUUAGCUGUUAAACAUGUGGAUGGAGGUGGUGUUGUAGCACUUAGCUUUUAGCACUUAGCUUUGCAAAUCAAUUGUUGAAUGCUUAAGUUAAUUACUCAAUGUGCUUAUAUUGUUCUGGCAUUCAUGAGUUAGGAUUCUAAAAUUGUGUAUGCUUAUUAUUAUUUGCUAUUUUAUUUUUCAUACCUCAAAAUCUCUCUUCGUUUUCAAUUCCUUUCAACUGCAAUAGGGACCAAAAUUUUAAGAGAUUGUUAAACUAGAAAUUAUACUUUCUAUUUCUUGUGUAAUUAUUUGAACUAGAAAUUAAACUUUUUGUUUCUUGUGCAGUGAUCUUAGCAACAACCACAUUGGAGGGCCAUUUCAUUCACUGUGUAAUAAACAUUGUGAAUAUACUACUUAAAAAGUAAAUUAUAAACAUUGAUUUUUGCUCUCUGCUGUUUACUUUUUAGAUGAUCCUUUCUUCUGAUUGCUCAUUUUUGUAAAGAGAAUCUGUUGCCCUUUGCAUUCCUCUUCUGCUGUCUAAUUUUCUCUUUAAUCCCAAAAAAAAAUCAUUGAAAAGCCUUGUUAUAAUAUUUCCUUUGGCUGUUAUCUUCGCUGUGGAUUUCUUUUCAUCUAACUUCAAUUUCUUAUCUAUAAUUAAAAAUAUAAACAUAUAUAUAUGCAGGACACGUGACUCAACUCUCAGUAAGCUAAGCUAAGCUAAGGUGUCGCUCUAAAAAUCACGUGUCAUCCAUAGAUACAUAUAUUAUAUGUAUAUAUAUGCUGCUUAAUUAAUUAGCUUCUUCUCUAAUUUUUCAAAAGGUCAAAUUAAAUACAUUACAAACGUGAUAUAUCAUUAUGAUUUGUUCAACCCUUUGCUUCUUAGCUUGUAAUGCAUGUUCAUCUCUUGAAACCCUUAAAUUAGUUGUUAUUAUUGGAUAUAGAUGAUCAUCCAUUGUAUAGUAGCUUUCAAUCUACUCUUAAAUAAUUAAUUAAUUUAUAUAGUUCAAAUAAGAUGAUCGGUUUAGUCUUCACUUACCAUAAGUUUUAACAGACUUAACUGCAUAGUCUUGCCUGUUAUAUAAAAAAAAUAGAAGAAUGAUUAUUGAUAUUUCAUCUAAUGAGGGUUUUUUUAGUGAAACUCAAAAAUCAAUCGUGUCAAAAAGUUCAACACAAAGAUUUGAAUAUUCAAAGGAGAAAGGUAUUAACGUAUAAGCCAAGGCCUCAUUAUUUGUUAUAUAAAAUGGAAAAAUACAGAAAUUGCUUAUCCUGUAUCUGAUUUCUGCUGUUGUUAUCAUUCACUCAGAGAGGAAGAGGGUUUAGGACUGUAGAGUGUGUCACUGCUCAUUCUGGCUCUCCUGAAUGAUGCAAUACCUCCAAAAUGCAGCACAAUUUGAAGUCAAUUUCAAGUUAAUAGAGUCACCUUAAGUUGAGGGUAUGAGACUAGUUUGUGGUUUGAUUGUGGUGAUUGUGUUGCUGAAUUUAAAGAAAGGUGAGAGCAGAAGAUCAAAGAGUGGUUCUAGAAGCAAUUCAUUUGUAAACUGCAGAGCACACAGUGCAUCAUUGGCUGAUUAUGGAGGAGUUGGUGAUGGAAAAACAUCAAACACUAAGGCAUUUGAAAAUGCAAUCAGAAACCUGAGUCAGUAUGAAGAGUUGGUGAUGGAAAAACAUCAAACACAAAGGCAUUUGAAAAUGCAAUAAAAAACCUGAGUCAGUAUGAAUCAAAAGGUGGUGCUCACUUCUGUUCCUGCUGGCAAAUGGCUCACUGGAAGCUUCAAUCUCAUUGGAGUUCUAAGAAAAAAAAUUAAUUUGCAUAUAUACAACUACUUUGAUACUUUGUUUUUGAAAUAUAACAUUUCAAUUAUGUCUUGGAUCAUGUAUGAAUUAAAAAUCGUCUUAUGAUAUUUGAUUUAUGGCUAUGCCUUUUGGUUA